GACGAACGCUGGCGGCGUGCCUAAUGCAUGCAAGUCGAACGCAGCGAGCUUGCUCGGCUGCGUGGCGCACGGCUGAGGAACACGUGGGUAUCAACCCCGGAGUGGGGGAUACCUCGGAGAAAUCCGAGACAAUCCCGCAUACGCUCUCUCACGAGAGGAAAGCCCUCGGGCGCUCCGGGACGAGCCUGCGGCCCAUCAGGUACGUUGGUAGGGUAACGGCCUACCAAGCCGGUGACGGGUCCCUGGUCUGAGAGGACGACCAGGCAGACUGGGACUGAGACACGGCCCAG
rnacentral:rRNA from 1 species